AGAGAGGACUGCUCCUCUGACGUUAGCGGCGGACGGGUGAGUAACACGUGGAUAACCUACCUAUAAGACUGGGAUAACUUCGGGAAACCGGAGCUAAUACCGGAUAAUAUAUUGAACCGCAUGGUUCAAUAGUGAAAGACGGUUUUGCUGUCACUUAUAGAUGGAUCCGCGCCGCAUUAGCUAGUUGGUAAGGUAACGGCUUACCAAGGCAACGAUGCGUAGCCGACCUGAGAGGGUGAUCGGCCACACUGGAACUGAGACACGGUCCAGACUCCUACGGGAGGCAGCAGUGGUCUGCUUUUUUUUCC
rnacentral:rRNA from 1 species